UACGGAGGUGGCGAGCGUUGUUCGGAAUUACUGGGCGUAAAGCGCGUGUAGGCGGUUGCCCAAGUCGGGUGUGAAAGCCUUGAGCUCAACUCAAGAAAUGCACUCGGUACUGGGUGACUAGAGGACCGGAGAGGAUAGUGGAAUUCCCAGUGUAGUGGUGAAAUGCGUAGAGAUGUGGAGGAACACCAGUGGCGAAGGCGACUUUCUGGGCUGUAACUGACGCUGAGG
rnacentral:rRNA from 1 species